GGCCCUGUGGCCCCAGGCCCUGGGGUGCCCCUGCACCUGCGAGCUGGUUCUGGAGAGAUGCGGCCUUGCGGCGGCGCCACGAGGGCCCGAGGCGGCUGCAGAGCCUCGGGAAAGGGCACUGCAAACGAGUAGAUACUUGGAGAGCUUUCCUUUUGAAACAGGCUGAAGGACCAAGUGGUGUGCUGGCGCCCGAGCUUCCGCAGCAGCUUCCAGAACCGACCUGCGAUGCAUCCGGCGGUGCCCUGUUGACGUGGGCUGUGGUGGAGAGCUGAGCUACUGGGAUGGGCCAACCCUCCAAGGGCUCCUUUCCUCCCAGCAAGGAUUGGCCUUUUUCUGCCGGUUCCCACUGUGCUCAUCAGCUGUGGUAUGGCCUGUGUCACAGCAUCCCCUCUGAUCUCCUGGUUUCUGGUCUUCCACAGUGCUGCCAGGCAGGGAGAAGAAUUUGUCGUAGGAGAGUCCAGAAUGAGAAAAACAAUGACAAUUUGAAAAGGAUACCUCCCUUACUUUAGAACAGUGCAUGAAAUUUCCUUUUAUGACUGAGGGAAAAAACUCCCACAUUCCUUACUGAAGGCUCUGGGAGUCUUGAAGAGUUACUGGUCUUCCUGUUUAAUUCUCCUGUGUUCUGGGAAAUAUGUGAGAUGUAAAGCUUAGUGAUAAAGAGACAUGACAGACUUCUAAAGAGGUGAUGGAAGCUCAGCGUCCACAAGGCAGGCAGCAAGAUUUUUUGCUGUUCUCAGUGCAAGUGUGUGACAACAGUGCUCUGCCCAUGUUAAUAUUCAAGACUAACACAGGACAGCCGAAGAGUAUUGUCUCCGAUAAGAGUGAAGUUCUUUGCCUGGAGCCAUCUGCAAGCUGGCUGAAGUAUGUUGAUAAGCACUCCAUAAAUUGUAACAUUACGAACCCAGCCUCCAGUUUUAGAGAGAAGCCAGCAUACACACCACCUACACAGAUUAACAGUCUCAGGUUCUCAAGCCUGGAGAGAAGAGGUUAUAAACAACUCUAUUCUUUCUCCCUGAGCUAGCCGCUGUGCAAAGAAAACUGGCAAGAUGGUGACAAUGACCACCAAAAUUGUUUCCAAUUCCUGUAAAUCAUUCUCCCUAAGAGUGGAAACCAACGGUGCAAACCCUUUCCAAGUCACGGUGUCAAGUUUAGCCCAUUAAUCACUGUCCCCAUCCCUGGAGGGUCCCUUGGUUAAUGGCAUUAUUUCCUGAGCCAGGCUUCUCACUAUCUAUUGGCAGGAUUUAUGCCUCAUUAUUCUCUGAGUGAAGAGUUCCUCAAAUUUCCUAAGGCUUUCCUCUCCCCACAGGAUGAGGAGGAAAAGGACAACUCCCAUUCUGCGUCGUGCUUUGUUUUUUCCUUUGAGUUUUGAGUGAUCUAUGCUCUUCUCCCUCGUAGCUAUCACUGUAGCUGAUGGGUCUCUAGAUUUAUUGGUUCAAUUAGGACUCUAUGUACAUGACACUAACUGGCGGGUUUGCUCUAGUUCCUGACAAAAGUAGUGAACUGAGCAGUGAGAAGUAUUGAUUCAUUUGUUGAUCAGUUGAAUACAACCUGUCAGAGUAACCUCUGAAUGGUGAGUAAAUAAUCCAGGGAACAUGUUCCAUGGAAAGGAGACUUUUCAAAAUACUGCCUUUUCACCAUAUAGUGCUAUCACAUAGCAACUCUAGUAUUGUUUCUGCCAAGUCAAUAUAGCAAAAUGUCUAUUAUUUUCUGUUAACCAGCUACCAGGCUAAGUAAAAUGUGAGUUUUAAGAGUUCAUUCUUAACAACCCUUUUUAAUGGGGUUGCUCAGAUCUGAUGUCAUAGAUGAUAUAACCUCAGGGAACCAUUCAGAUUAUGAGAUUAGAAUUAGAUUAGUAAUUUUUAAAACCAACACAAAUGCCAAAGCAGACAAUGUAGGUAGCCUGUCGGUUUAUUAUUUCCCUAGCCUUCCUCACUAACUGAACCCCAUUAUAUUGAGGUUUUUGGUGGCCAUUUGCUUCAUGGGUCCUCUCUUGUCCCAGGAGUGAGUGUUGACAUGGCGAGUCCACUGCUCUUGCCCACCACAGGUAUAAAUAUGGUCUUGUGACAUAACUGGUCAAUGGGACAUGAGAGGGAAUCUGCUGGGAAGAUUUUGAGGAAGUUCUUCCACCCUAAUAGAAAUUGAGACUAGAGGAAUCACUGUCCUUUUCUGCUUCUGGACAAGCUCUGUGAAGAGGAGACCUUGGCAGCUGCUGUGGCCAUCUGGUCACUAUUGGUGGGAGAAGAAGGUUGGGUGGGACAUCCCAACAAGCUGAGGAGGACAGAGCAGGAAGUUAGAAGAAACUCAUUCACUGAGGUGCUGAACAGUCCUGAAACUACCUUCCCUUUAGUUUUUUUGUUAUAUAGGAUAAUAAGCCCCUUAUUAUUGAAUGUACUAAUAGUUGGGUUUUCUGUAACUUUCAACUGAAAAACAUUCUAAUAGAUAUAAGCCGAGGUCUAAGUGUAAUAUUACUGGUGCUCUGAAACCUUGAGCAAGAUUGUUCUUGGCUCUGGUAUGAAUUGGAAACUUUUCAAAAAUUUUAGGUUCUGGAUUAAAUAUCAGGAAUCAGGGAAAGACUAAUUCAUAGAGGAAGUCAAAUCUAGAAUUUCAAUGUGAAGGCACAAAUGAUAUUGAUGCUCACUGUCAAGAUUGAAAUAUGCACAUUUUGCUUUUCUGCCAGACACAGAAGGCAUAAAAAUGAAUGAAAUUUAGAUGAAAUGUCCAGAAUAAGCAAGUACACAGAGACAGAAAGCAUAUUAGUGUUUGCCAGGGCCUGAGGGGUGGGAGGAGAUGGUGAGUGACUGUUUAAUGAGAAUGGGCUUUCCUUUUGAGGUGAUGAGAAUAUUCUGGAACUAUAUAGUGGUGAUAGUCGUCCAACAUUGUGAAUGUACCAAAUGUCACUGAAUUGUACACUUAAAAUAAUGAAUAAAUGGCAAAUUUUAUGUGUUUUAUCACAACAA